rnacentral:tRNA from 4 species
CGGGACGUAGCGUAGCUUGGUAGCGCGCCUGGUUCGGGACUAGGAGGUCGGGGGUUCAAAUCCCCCCGUCCCGACCA